rnacentral:sRNA from 1 species
UCUCCCUGCCCCCACCUCCCUCGCUCCGUGCCCCUCUGCUGUGAGGGCACAGCCUGAGUGCAGCCCUGUCCUCCACAGGUAGACGAUGAGCUGGAGAUCAAGGCCUACUAUGCAGGCCAUGUGCUGGGGGCAGCCAUGUUCCAGAUUAAAGUGGGCUCAGAGUCUGUGGUCUACACGGGUGAUUAUAACAUGACCCCAGACCGACACUUGGGAGCUGCCUGGAUUGACAAGUGCCGCCCCAACCUGCUCAUCACAGAGUCCACGUAUGCCACGACCAUCCGUGACUCCAAGCGCUGCCGGGAGCGAGACUUCCUGAAGAAAGUCCACGAGACCGUGGAGCGUGGUGGGAAGGUGCUGAUACCCGUGUUCGCGCUGGGCCGCGCCCAGGAGCUCUGCAUCCUCCU